CCACCCGUGUCACCGGGUGAAUCAAGGAGUCUGAAUCAAGAGCGACUCUGACAAUGCAGCGAAGCACCGCAAGGUGCGGGGUAUCAAUCGUGAGAAGCAUACCCUUCUGGCAGCCACAGGCCGGAUGAGCGC
rnacentral:ncRNA from 3 species